rnacentral:rRNA from 1 species
GACGAACGCUGGCGGCGUGCUUAACACAUGCAAGUCGAACGGAAAGGCCCUGCUUUUGUGGGGUGCUCGAGUGGCGAACGGGUGAGUAACACGUGAGUAACCUGCCCUUGACUUUGGGAUAACUUCAGGAAACUGGGGCUAAUACCGGAUAGGAGCUCCUGCUGCAUGGUGGGGGUUGGAAAGUUUCGGCGGUUGGGGAUGGACUCGCGGCUUAUCAGCUUGUUGGUGGGGUAGUGGCUUACCAAGGCUUUGACGGGUAGCCGGCCUGAGAGGGUGACCGGCCACAUUGGGACUGAGGUACGGCCCAGACUCCUACGGGAGGCAGCAGUGGGGAAUAUUGCACAAUGGGCGGAAGCCUGAUGCAGCAACGCCGCGUGCGGGAUGACGGCCUUCGGGUUGUAAACCGCGUUCGCCUGUGACGAAGCGUGAGUGACGGUAAUGGGUAAAGAAGCACCGGCUAACUACGUG